rnacentral:rRNA from 1 species
CCUACGGGAGGCAGCAGUGAGGAAUAUUGGUCAAUGGACGAGAGUCUGAACCAGCCAAGUAGCGUGAAGGAUGACUGCCCUAUGGGUUGUAAACUUCUUUUAUAAAGGAAUAAAACGAGGCACGUGUGCCUUUUUGUAUGUACUUUAUGAAUAAGGAUCGGCUAACUCCGUGCCAGCAGCCGCGGUAAUACGGAGGAUCCGAGCGUUAUCCGGAUUUAUUGGGUUUAAAGGGAGCGUAGAUUGGUUGUUAAGUCAGUUGUGAAAGUUUGCGGCUCAACCGUAAAAUUGCAAUUGAUACUGGCAGUCUUGAGUACAGUUGAGGUAGGCGGAAUUCGUGGUGUAGCGGUGAAAUGCUUAGAUAUCACGAAGAACCCCGAUUGCGAAGGCAGCUUACUAAACUGUGACUGACACUGAUGCUCGAAAGUGUGGGUAUCAAACAGGAUUAGAUACCCCAGUAGUC